rnacentral:rRNA from 1 species
CCUACGGGUGGCAGCAGUGGGGAAUAUUGGACAAUGGGGGCAACCCUGAUCCAGCCAUGCCGCGUGUGUGAAGAAGGCCCUCGGGUUGUAAAGCACUUUCAGUGAGGAAGAACGCCUGGUGGUUAAUACCCAUCAGGAAAGACAUCACUCACAGAAGAAGCACCGGCUAACUCCGUGCCAGCAGCCGCGGUAAUACGGAGGGUGCGAGCGUUAAUCGGAAUUACUGGGCGUAAAGCGCGCGUAGGUGGCUUGAUAAGCCGGUUGUGAAAGCCCCGGGCUCAACCUGGGAACGGCAUCCGGAACUGUCAAGCUAGAGUGCAGGAGAGGAAGGUAGAAUUCCCGGUGUAGCGGUGAAAUGCGUAGAGAUCGGGAGGAAUACCAGUGGCGAAGGCGGCCUUCUGGACUGACACUGACACUGAGGUGCGAAAGCGUGGGUAGCAAACAGGAUUAGAUCCCGAGUAGUC